GUGCUGUAACCUAGUAAAGUUUGACAUUAAUAAUGUCAAGAUGGGACUUAACACUCCCCAGCAACA
rnacentral:tRNA from 1 species